rnacentral:rRNA from 1 species
UACGAAGGGGGCUAGCGUUGUUCGGAAUUACUGGGCGUAAAGGGCGCGCAGGCGGCCGCUCAAGUCAGAUGUGAAAGCCCCGGGCUCAACCUGGGAAUUGCAUUUGAGACUGCGUAGCUAGGGUGCGGAAGAGGGAAGCGGAAUUUCCGGUGUAGCGGUGAAAUGCGUAGAUAUCGGAAGGAACACCAGUGGCGAAAGCGGCUUCCUGGUCCAGCACCGACGUUCAGGCACGAAAGCGUGGGGAGCAAACAGGA